rnacentral:rRNA from 1 species
CCGCCAAGGUUGAAACUCAAAGGCAUUGACGGGGACCCGCACAAGCGGUGGAUGAUGUGGUUUAAUUCGAUGCUACGCGAAAAACCUUACCUACCCUUGACAUGUCUAGAAGUUACCAGAGAUGGUUUCGUGCUCGAAAGAGAACUAGAACACAGGUGCUGCAUGGCCGUCGUCAGCUCGUGUCGUGAGAUGUUGGGUUAAGUCCCGCAACGAGCGCAACCCUUAUCAUUAGUUGCUACGCAAGGGCACUCUAAUGAGACUGCCGGUGACAAACCGGAGGAAGGUGGGGAUGACGUCAGGUCAUCAUGGCCCUUAUGGGUAGGGCUACACACGUCAUACAAUGGCCGGUACAGAGGGUUGCCAACCCGCGAGGGGGAGCUAAUCUCAGUAAAACCGGUCGUAGUCCGGAUCGCAGUCUGCAACUCGACUGCGUGAAGUCAGAAAUCGCUA